GGCUGAGUGGUAAAGCGCUUGGCUUCUUAACUGAGGGGUCCCGGGUUCAAAUCCUGG
rnacentral:tRNA from 1 species